GAUGAAGAACGUAGCAAAAUGCGAUACUUGGUGUGAAUUGCAGAAUCCCGUGAACCAUCGAGUCUUUGAACGCAAGUUGCGCCCGAAGCCAUUAGGCCGAGGGCACGCCUGCCUGGGCGUCACACGUCGUUGCCCCCCCAUCUACUCCUUCGGGAUUGCGGGGGGCGGAUGAUGGCCUCCCGUGCGCCUCGUCGCGCGGUUGGCCUAAAUGCCAAGUCCUCGGCGACGCACGCCACGACAAUCGGUGGUUGCGAAACCUCGGUUGCCUGUCGUGUGCGGUCGUCGCGCAUCGAGGGCUCGAAAAAAUUGCCGGGCUUCGGCUCGACUUUCAACGCAACCCCAGGUCAGGCGGGGUUACCCGCUGAAUUUAAGCAUAUCAAUAAGCGGAGGA
rnacentral:misc_RNA from 1 species